GUGUCAGCCGCCGCGGUAAUACGUAGGGGGCGAGCGUUGUCCGAAGUUACUGGGCGUAAAGCGCGCGUAGGCGGGCUGGUAAGUCGGAAGUGAAAGGCUGGGGCUCAACUCCAGCAGUGCUUCCGAUACUGCCAGUCUUGAGGGCGGUAGGGAGAAGUGGAAUGGCUGGUGUAGCGGUGAAAUGCGUAGAUAUCAGUCGGAACACCGGUGGCGAAGGCGGCUUCUUGGGCCGUUCCUGACGCUGAGGCGCGAAAGCCAGGGGAGCGAACGGGAUUAGAAACCCCAGUAGUCC
rnacentral:rRNA from 1 species